AAGAACCUUACCUACUCUUGACAUCCAGAGAAUUCGCUAGAGAUAGCUUAGUGCCUUCGGGAACUCUGAGACAGGUGCUGCAUGGCUGUCGUCAGCUCGUGUUGUGAAAUGUUGGGUUAAGUCCCGCAACGAGCGCAACCCUUAUCCUUUGUUGCCAGCACGUAAUGGUGGGAACUCAAAGGAGACUGCCGGUGAUAAACCGGAGGAAGGUGGGGAUGACGUCAAGUCAUCAUGGCCCUUACGAGUAGGGCUACACACGUGCUACAAUGGCGUAUACAAAGAGAAGCGAACUCGCGAGAGCAAGCGGACCUCAUAAAGUACGUCGUAGUCCGGAUCGGAGUCUGCAACUCGACUCCGUGAAGUCGGAAUCGCUAGUAAUCGUAGAUCAGAAUGCUAUUCGACCC
rnacentral:rRNA from 1 species